AGUGAACGCUGGCGGUAGGCCUAACACAUGCAAGUCGAACGGCAACACAGUAAGUGCUUGGUGUAACGGGGGGCGAGUGGCGGACGGGAGACGAGUACAUCGGAACCUACUUUUCCGGGGGGGCUAACGUAGGGAGACCUACGCUAAUACCGCAUACGACCUUCGGGUGAAAGCAGGGGAGCUUCGGACCUUGGGGGAGUGAAUGCGCCGAUGUCGGAUUAGCUGGUUGGCGGGGUAAAGGCCCACCAAGGCGGCGAUCCGUAGCUGGUCUGAGAGGAUGAUCCGCCACACUGGAGCUGAGACACGGUCCGGACUCCUGCGACGGGCAGCAGUCGGGAAUAUGGGAGCAUGGGCGCAAGCCUGAUCCAGCCAGACCGCGUGAGUGAGGAAGGCCUCCGGGUUGUAAAGGCCUUUUGUUUGGAAAGAAAAGCAGCAUGUUAAUACACCGCUUUUGUGACGGUACCUAAAGAAUAAGCACCGGCUAACUUCGUG
rnacentral:rRNA from 1 species